rnacentral:rRNA from 1 species
CUACCGUGCAAAGGUAGCAUAAUCAUUUGCCUUAUAAUUGAAGGCUAGUAUGAAUGGUUUGACAAGAAUGAAGCUGUCUCUUUAUAAUUUAAUAGAAUUUUAUCUUUAGGUGAAGAAGCCUAUGUAAAAUUAAAAGACAAGAAGACCCUAUCGAGCUUAAAAAAAAUUAAUAGAAUUAAGUUAAUUAAUAUUCAUAAAAAAUUGUCUAUUAAAUAUUUUAGUUGGGGCGACUGAGGAACAUGAAAAGCUUCCUUUAAAAUGAAAUUAACUAAAAUCAAACUAGAAUUGAUCCAAAAUUAUUUUGAUUAAAGAAAUUAGUUACCGUAGGGAUAACAGCAUUAUCUUUUUUAAGAGCUCAUAUCGAAAAAAAGGUUUGUGACCUCGAUGUUGGACCAGAAUAUCCUAAA